GCCUCAGUAGCGGCGAGUGAAGCGGCAAAAGCUCAAAUUUGAAAUCUGGCGUCUUUGGCGUCCGAGUUGUAAUUUGAAGAAGGUAUCUUUGGGCCCGGCUCUUGUCUAUGUUCCUUGGAACAGGACGUCACAGAGGGUGAGAAUCCCGUGCGAUGAGAUGACCCGGGUCUGUGUAAAGUUCCUUCGACGAGUCGAGUUGUUUGGGAAUGCAGCUCUAAGUGGGUGGUAAAUUCCAUCUAAAGCUAAAUAUUGGCGAGAGACCGAUAGCGAACAAGUACAGUGAUGGAAAGAUGAAAAGAACUUUGAAAAGAGAGUGAAAAAGUACGUGAAAUUGUUGAAAGGGAAGGGCUUGAGAUCAGACUUGGUAUUUUGCAUGUUGCUCUCUCGGGGGCGGCCGCUGCGGUUUACCGGGCCAGCAUCGGUUUGGAGCGGCAGGAUAAUGGCGGAGGAAUGUGGCACGGCUUCUGCUGUGUGUUAUAGCCUCUGACGAUACUGCCAGCCUAGACCGAGGACUGCGGUUUUUUACCUAGGAUGUUGGCAUAAUGAUCUUAAGUCGCCCGUCUUGAAACACGGACCAAGGAGUCUAACGUCUAUGCGAGUGUUUGGGUGUAAAACCCGUACGCGUAAUGAAAGUGAACGAAGGUGGGGGCCUAUUAGGGUGCACCAUCGACCGAUCCUGAUGUGUUCGGAUGGAUUUGAGUAAGAGCAUAGCUGUUGGGACCCGAAAGAUGGUGAACUAUGCCUGAAUAGGGUGAAGCCAGAGGAAACUCUGGUGGAGGCUCGUAGCGGUUCUGACGUGCAAAUCGAUCGUCGAAUUUGGGUAUAGGGCGAAAGACUAAU
rnacentral:rRNA from 1 species